UACAGAGGUCUCAAGCGUUGUUCGGAUUCAUUGGGCGUAAAGGGUGCGUAGGUAGGCGCCGUAAGUCGGGUGUGAAAUUUCGGAGCUUAACUCCGAAACUGCAUUCGAUACUGCGGUGCUUGAGGACUGGAGAGGAGACUGGAAUUCAUGGUGUAGCAGUGAAAUGCGUAGAGAUCAUGAGGAAGACCAGUGGCGAAGGCGGGUCUCUGGACAGUUCCUGACACUGAGGCACGAAGGCCAGGGGAGCAAACGGG
rnacentral:rRNA from 1 species